GCACCGCUGGGUGAAUGAGACGUUGAUAGAUCGUUUUUGUUUUUUUUUCUAUCGGUUUUGUUUUUCUUUACUCGGAGAGAUCAAAUUAUUGGUGGGGACAAUUCAAUAAUCGCUGGAUAUUGGUGGGGACAUGUCCCUUCCGUCCAUGCCAAAUCUAAGCCCUUGACGUGGCUUCCUGAGGACACAACUUUCUGUUUCAUCACUAAUCCUCCAGCUGUGUUGUUUUGGUGGCGCAGGCUCCUUUCUUGAUACAUCUUCACAUCUUUUUUCAGUGCACCUCCAGACUGAUUUUUUCAUUUUCCUGACAAAUAAAAACAACUGGACUAUCUGGAUCUGUGCUGGUGGAAGUUGGCAUAAUGGCAAAACAAACAGCACCAACAGUUUGCAUCUUAGUGCUUUUAUUCGUCACAGUCUUUGCUCAAGUGAUAGUUGGUGGGAAGUACUUCAAGGACUGUCCAGGAAUUCCCUUCAUCCCUAUUUAUCUUUGUGGACCCAUCUUUGCCUUCAUUGCAUUGUGUAUGUACGGGUCAUGCAACCUGCCUUGUUGGUCCGUGACCACUCUCUUCUUCAUUUGCUGGUAUAUUGCUGGUAAUGCAGUGAUCUACAGCAAUUUUGAACCAGACUACUGCAACAAGACAUUCUACCUUUUUGCAUUUUGGAGCACCAAUGUGACCAACAUCUUACUAUUUCUGCUUUUUUGUUGUUGCCUUGUUGAAGCAAGGGCUAAUAAUAGUACUUCUGUUCCAGUAUAAAUACACACAGAAGGUCAAAAUCAGUGUGUAUGCUGUCUAAUGAUUGCUUUUAUGGGAUAUGUGUAUUUAAAGCAUAUCAUCAAAUGGAUAAAACAGCAGCACUGACAUUAUAAUUGACGUGUAAAAUGCAGGAUUUAACAUGUUUAUGUUUUUGUAAAAAUGCUUUUGACAUUAGCAUGAACUUGAGCUUUUGAUUCAUUAUUACAAAUAAUAUUUUCAGCACUUGAUUACAGUGUUGGUCAAGUUACUUGAAAAAAGUAAUCAGUAACUAAUUACUGAUUACUUCCCCAAAAAAGUAAUCCCGUUACUUUACUGAUUCCUUAUUUUCAAAAGUAAUUAAUUACUUAGUUACUUUUUAAAAACACGAUUUACAACCUGAAUAGGUGAUAAAGUGAUAGAUCUUUCAGCCCA
ensembl:lncRNA